rnacentral:rRNA from 1 species
UACAUGGGGUGCAAACGUUGCUCGGAAUUAUUGGGCGUAAAGCGCGCGUAGGCGGUUACUUAAGUCGGAUGUGAAAGUCCUCGGCUUAACUGAGGAAGUGCACCCGAAACUGAGUAGCUAGAGUACGAAAGAGGGUCGCGGAAUUCCCGGUGUAGAGGUGAAAUUCGUAGAUAUCGGGAGGAACACCGGUGGCGAAGGCGGCGACCUGGGUCGAGACUGACGCUGAGGCGCGAAAGCGUGGGGAGCAAACAGG